GUCAAGCUAAAAGAGACACACUAAAGUUGGUGCCAUAGGACUUGCCUUAUUAAAUGCUUCACUUCCCCUCCUUUUCUAUUCAAAUUUCAAAUUCACACCUCUUUCUAAAUCACUUAACACUUUUUUCUUCUUUUCAUUGCUCUACUUUUAGUUCAAAUAUUUUCAAGUGAAAGAAAUAUAGAGUGAUGGAAACAACAAUAUGGUAGAGAAAGCUUUGUGAGGAAAUAAGCUUUGAAAAAAAAAAAGGAUCUGAAAAUGAGUACAGCAAGAUUCAUCAAAUGUGUCACUGUUGGAGAUGGAGCUGUUGGAAAGACUUGUAUGCUCAUCUCUUAUACUAGCAACACAUUUCCUACGGUAUGACAAAUAACACAUCAUGUUUUGUUGUUUUAACAUGUAAAUGUUUUAAGGAAAAGUAGACUCUGGUGGUUUAGAGUUCAGUUCGGAUUGUAUUGAUCUUAGUUGAAAUUUAUUAAAUGUUAAAUUUAAUUUGCUGUUCUCUUAUUGUUAUUUUUUUGAAGGAUUAUGUGCCUACAGUUUUUGAUAACUUCAGUGCAAAUGUUGUGGUUGAUGGAAGCACAGUUAAUCUUGGAUUAUGGGACACUGCUGGUAAAAUGAACACUUUUAAAAAUUUAAACUUUGUUAAUUUCUUGUUAGUUAUUAUUUUUUCAAAAUUUUACUAAUUUAUUUUGGGUUUAUAAAUUAAGGACAAGAGGAUUACAAUAGGCUUAGGCCUUUGAGUUACAGAGGAGCAGAUGUGUUCUUGUUGGCCUUUUCCUUACUGAGCAGAGCCAGCUAUGAGAAUAUCUCUAAAAAGGUAUAACUAUGAGACACAUUUUGUGAAUUGUGAUUAUAUGGUAUAAUUAAAUUUAACACUUGGGAUAAUUUUAUGUAUGCAGUGGAUUCCUGAACUGAGACAUUAUGCACCAACUGUACCGAUUGUACUUGUGGGAACCAAACUUGGUAGGAGCUAAACAUAUAUAUAACUUACUUUGCAAUUUGGUAUUAAUUAUGCUAUAAGUUUAGACUUUGGUAAUUUAAAUGAUUAAUUGGAUUUUUAUUUUAUAUUGGGUUGUAGAUUUGAGGGAAGAUAGGCAGUAUCUGAUUGAUCAUCCUGGAGCUACACCAAUUACUACUGCCCAGGCAAAUCAUUACUAACUAAAGCUGUCUUUUGGUUAUACUUAAAAAAUCUAGGAAUUAGAAUUGUUGCAGUUACGCAAUUUAAAAUUUCGACAGUUGAUGAUUUUUUGUUCAACGGUCGAAAUCUUCUUAAUUGCGUGACUGCCGUAAAGUCCUUAUCCAAUUUUUUAUGGUUUUGUUUUAGAGUACAAUUAAAUCAUGUAAAAUUUAUGGACAGGGAGAAGAGUUGAAAAGGGCAAUUGGUGCAGCUGUGUACUUAGAAUGCAGCUCCAAGACUCAGCAGGUUCUGAUUAUUUAAUAAUCAUACAGUUAUACUAAUUAAUACUAGCUUUUAGAUUUGUCUAAACAAGGUUCAAGAGAAGUCUGCUUUAAAAAUGUUGUUUUAAAUAUAAUUUUAUUACAUGCAAUUACAGUAUUUUUUUUAAGUUUCUCAAGGUUAUUUUAUUUCAAAUUAAAAAGUAAUUGCUUUUUAGUCUUUUAAAUCAAUUUAUUGAGCCACUUAAAAGACUAAAAACAACUUUUUGUUAAUAUGCAGGAAUUGAAUCUAUUUCAAGUUAAAAAAUUGAAUCUAAACAAAACAAAACUUUAUUAAAAUCAAAACACACUAUAAUUACAAGAAGUAAAAUCAUAUUUAAUCCUUAAAUAUUUAAUUAUUAGCCUUGGUCUAAUUUGAUGUGUUUAUUUCAGAAUGUGAAGGCUGUGUUUGAUGCUGCAAUCAAGGUUGUUUUGCAGCCUCCUAAGGCAAAGAAAAAAAGAAAGAAGAACAGAUCAUGUAUUUUCCUUUAAUUGGUUGUUAAUCCAUGCUUGAUUCAUGUUGUAACAUUUUAUUGUACGGUUCAGCCUUUUGAACAUAUGUAUUUCAAACUCUACCUUCAUUACGUUUUCUUGUAUUUUUUUUGUUGUUGAUGGGUCCAAAAUGAUGUUCCUAUGUUAUAUGUAACUGCGUAUUCAAUGAUAAAUUUUGUGAUAAGAAAUAAUAGCAUUAAUGUUGCUCACAAUAUUUCAUAGUAUAUUUUUUAAAGAUUUUAAAUAAAGAAAUCUAACAUCCCUUCUCUUUCUCCAUUGGAUUUCAAUCCAUUCCAUCCUUUUCAAAAUGGACCACAUACAAUAAUUUGACAUUUUAUAAAAAAAAAUAUGAUUUAUUUAUGUUCUAUUUUAUGUCAAAUUUUAUAUUCCAAUAAUAUUUCUUAAUAUAUAAAUAUAGUAUUAAUAGUGAUGGUUAAUAUUCCUACCAUUAUUUAUUGUUGUGAUUAAUUAAAUAUAUGAUUCAGAUCCUUUUCACAAGCUGUAAAAAAAGCUUUUAAGUUUUGUCAUUUAAUUGUAACAAAGGCCGAAAGGUUAAGCAACUAUAAUUUUUUAUGGACUUUGAACCCACCUAAACAGCAACAAUUACAUCAAGCUAUAGAUACAGAACAAAAAUCAGACUAGCUCGUAGAAGAUGUUUAAUAAACUAAUAGUUUGUUACAAAUCUAUAAACUAAUAUAGAAGCGCCUGUAGCUCAGUGGAUAGAGCGUCUGUUUCCUAAGCAGAAAGUCGUAGGUUCGACCCCUACCUGGCGCGUUGAAAUUGUUUUUAUUUUCGAAUCAAAAUUAAUAAAUGUUAUUUGAAAUACAGCCACCUCCUAAAUUUUUUGCGUUUUUUUUUGUUAUUAUAGUCCGCCAUACUUAUAACUAAAUUUUGAAUAAUAAAUUUUUUUAACUGUAUUUUUUUAUUUAACAAUCGUCUUAAAAUGUAAUCGUUAACUAAUAACUUACUAUUGUUUUUGGUUGAUAAAUAACUUAAUAUUUUAACAUAAUUUUUAAUCUAUUCUAAUUUAGUUUUAAGAAAUAUAAAUAAACUUUGUAAAGAUUAAAACAAAAUAAUAAUAAUUAAUGGUAAAUAAUUAUAUAUUGAAAAUUAUUAAAAAAAAAUUAUUGACUAAAAAUCACAAAACAUGUAUUUUUAGAAAUUAAAAUAUAUUUAAAUCUAUUUUAAUUCAUUUUUUUAUUGUGGUUUAAUUUAGUAUACUAAUCUAAAACUCUGUCCUUCCCCUUAAAGAAACAGAAAAACAAAAUGCAAUAAUGGUCAAGCUAAAAGAGACACACUAAAGUUGGUGCCAUAGGACUUGCCUUAUUAAAUGCUUCACUUCCCCUCCUUUUCUAUUCAAAUUUCAAAUUCACACCUCUUUCUAAAUCACUUAACACUUUUUUCUUCUUUUCAUUGCUCUACUUUUAGUUCAAAUAUUUUCAAGUGAAAGAAAUAUAGAGUGAUGGAAACAACAAUAUGGUAGAGAAAGCUUU
rnacentral:lncRNA from 1 species